GCCUGUACUGAGGGUAUGAAGAAAAAAAUAUGAGGAAUUCAGAUAUAGAUAUAUAUAUAUGUAUAAUGUUUAAUAUACAGGUCAUGAAGAGUCAUCAACUCCUAUCAGGACUCUCAUAAAUACUCUAGCUUGGCAUCUGCACAUGGGUAACUAUAAUCACGUCUGUACAUAUUUCUUAUUCAUCCUAUAGGCAAGUUUUUUAAAGUACUUGUGCUGACUUUCUGAAAUGAACUAUAUGCUCUUAGUCCUUGUACUCAACUUACUCCCAGGAAAACAAGAGAAAGCCAAGGCAUGAUGGUUGACUAAAGACAACACUUUAAAGUCAAAGAUAAGACUAUAGUUUAGCAGUUCUCAACCUAUGGGUCAUGACCCCUUUGGGAAUUGCAUAUCAGAUAUGCUGAAUAUUAGAUACUUACAUUAUGAUUCAUAACAGUAGCAAAAUUACAGUUAUGAAGUAGCAACAAAAUAAUUUUAUGUUUGGGGGCAUCACAACAUGAGGAACUGUAUUAUGGGGUUGCAAUUUUAGGAAGGCUGAGAACCACUAACAUAUAUCAUUAUUGUAGUUCAACCUGCACAGAUGAGAACAGGAAGAUAAAGACCAAAGGAAUAAGUCACAGAAGUGAAGAACCAUCCUGAAGACUGAAGUUUCCAGAUCAUUCUAAAUUGGAGCAGAGAAGGCUGAGGCCUUACAGAUUCUCCAAGAGGACAUCUGAUAUAUCUUCCUUAUUAAAGAUGACACAGCAUAACUGAUGGGCCUGGUGCCUUGCCAGUUCCAACUUUUCUUCCUUUCUUUUUCUGAGAAUGCUGUUUAAUGCAUGGACAUUAUUUUUGGACUACUGAACGCCAGAAAAUAACGAGCUGGCAUUCAGCUUUGGUGAAUAAGACCCUGAAUUUUCAUCUAAAAGCAGUUUUGAGUUAUGGCUGUAGAUAAGGUGUAACUGUGCACAGGAAUUUUAUCCAUGUUUCUCCCAUGAAUCAUGAAUGAGGGAAAAAAUUACAGUCUAAAUUGCACUUAAAAGGAAUAAAGUCUUUUCAUGUCAUA